rnacentral:rRNA from 1 species
GAUGAACGCUGGCGGCGUGCCUAACACAUGCAAGUCGAGCGAUCUUCUUCGGAAGAGAGCGGCGGACGGGUGAGUAACGCGUGGGUAACCUGCCCUGUACACACGGAUAACAUACCGAAAGGUAUGCUAAUACGGGAUGACAUAUGAAAGUCGCAUGGCUUUCAUAUCAAAGCUCCGGCGGUACAGGAUGGACCCGCGUCUGAUUAGCUAGUUGGUAAGGUAACGGCUUACCAAGGCGACGAUCAGUAGCCGACCUGAGAGGGUGAUCGGCCACACUGGAACUGAGACACGGUCCAGACUCCUACGGGAGGCAGCAGUGGGGAAUAUUGCACAAUGGGCGAAAGCCUGAUGCAGCAACGCCGCGUGAGCGAUGAAGGCCUUCGGGUCGUAAAGCUCUGUCCUCAAGGAAGAUAAUGACGGUACUUGAGGAGGAAGCCCCGGCUAACUACGUGCCAGCAGCCGCGGUAAUACGUAGGGGGCUAGCGUUAUCCGGAAUUACUGGGCGUAAAGGGUGCGUAGGCGGUCUUUCAAGCCAGAAGUGAAAGGCUACGGCUCAACCGUAGUAAGCUUUUGGAACUGUAGGACUUGAGUGCAGGAGAGGAGAGUAGAAUUCCUAGUGUAGCGGUGAAAUGCGUAGAUAUUAGGAGGAAUACCAGUAGCGAAGGCGGCUCUCUGGACUGUAACUGACGCUGAGGCACGAAAGCGUGGGGAGCAAACAGG